GGAAGCACCGGCUAACUCCGUGCCAGCAGCCGCGGUAACACGGGGGGUGCAAGCGUUAUUCGGAAUUAUUGGGCGUAAAGGGCGCGUAGGCGGUCUUGUCGGUCAGAUGUGAAAGCCCGGGGCUCAACCCUGGAAGUGCAUUUGAAACAGCAAGACUUGAAUACUGGAGAGGAGAGAGGAAUUCCUGGUGUAGAGGUGAAAUUCGUAGAUAUCAGGAGGAACACCGAUGGCGAAGGCAUCUCUCUGGACAGAUAUUGACGCUGAGGCGCGAAGGCGUGGGUAGCGAACAGGAUUAGAUACCCUGGUAGUCCACGCAGUAAACGUUGUACACUCGGUGUACCGGAUAUUAA
rnacentral:rRNA from 1 species